rnacentral:rRNA from 1 species
CUGCGGACGGGUGAGUAACACGUGGGUAACCUACCUAUAAGACUGGGACAACUUCGGGAAACCGGAGCUAAUACCGGAUAAGAUAUCGAACCGCAUGGUUCGAUAGUGAAAGAUGGUUUUGCUAUCACUUAUAGAUGGACCCGCGCCGUAUUAGCUAGUUGGUGAGGUAACGGCUCACCAAGGCAACGAUACGUAGCCGACCUGAGAGGGUGAUCGGCCACACUGGAACUGAGACACGGUCCAGACUCCUACGGGAGGCAGCAGCC